GGAUGAACGCUGGCGGCGUGCCUAAUACAUGCAAGUCGAGCGAACAGAUGAGGAGCUUGCUCCUCUGACGUUAGCGGCGGACGGGUGAGUAACACGUGGAUAACCUACCUAUAAGACUGGGAUAACUUCGGGAAACCGGAGCUAAUACCGGAUAAUAUAUUGAACCGCAUGGUUCAAUAGUGAAAGACGGUUUUGCUGUCACUUAUAGAUGGAUCCGCGCCGCAUUAGCUAGUUGGUAAGGUAACGGCUUACCAAGGCAACGAUGCGUAGCCGACCUGAGAGGGUGAUCGGCCACACUGGAACUGAGACACGGUCCAGACUCCUACGGGAGGCAGCAGUAGGGAAUCUUCCGCAAUGGGCGAAAGCCUGACGGAGCAACGCCGCGUGAGUGAUGAAGGUCUUCGGAUCGUAAAACUCUGUUAUUAGGGAAGAACAAAUGUGUAAGUAACUAUGCACGUCUUGACGGUACCUAAUCAGAAAGCCACGGCUAACUACGUG
rnacentral:rRNA from 1 species